CCAGCUUCAGCACACCCUUCUGGAACCGUCACAACACAGAACAAAAUCAGCUAAAACCAUGAACCGCAAUUGAAAUCAGAAAACUAAAGCCUCGAUUUGAUUGAGUGUAAGUAAGCACCUGCUGCAUGGCGUCAAUCGAUUUGAUCGAUGGAUUUGGAAUGGUGGAAUGAAAUGCUAGACGAUGACUGACUUGUAUGGUCGAGGAGGAACAAAGCGUCCCACUAUGAUCUGGGAGUGACGGCGGGUGGGUUUUAUAGGCGCGGCCAAGAGUUCAACAACGUCGCGGCAAAAGUCUCGGUUUUAUGUUUUUUCAAACAGAGGUGUGGUAGCGGCAAAUGUGUCGCAAAACGGAACGCGUGGAUGGAUAAAUGCACGGCGGCCACGUAAGCACGUACGGUUAAAACGGUUAGAAACUUGGUCGGCAAAACAUCUUUGGUUCAGGAACUCACCAAACCAACAUUUUCUCUACUGCUAACUUACAUAACAAUAUUUUUAAUAAAAGCCUAGGUAGGUAUAUAGUUUAAUACAAGUUUUAGGGUGGUUGGCAUUUUUAAUAACCGUUCAUCCACCUCGAUCUAAUGGUGGUAAAUAGACGGAACCAAUCUGAUGGAACCAGGACCGGAACCUUAGAUAUAUUUCACGAAAAUUAUAAAAAACAAGCGUCCUUUUGAUCGGCCGAAACCUCCGAUGAAACAACACGAAUCUUAAAGCAAUGACAAUAUCCACUCUCCCUGUUCAUCAUCUUGUAUUUUUUGAACUGACCCCUCUUCAUCAUUUGUGGUAGUCUGGUUCCGACGGAAUCCUCUCUCCGGCGAUCACUCACUCUCCACCAGCCAGCUCACACUGUAAUUCCAAUCUUGCCGGCGAGCGACCCUAUCGGUGAACUCUCGAUGACCGACGCGGCUGUCUCCCACAUGGCUGUCGUCGCGGAACCACGAAGUCGUGCGCCUGCGCUAGGCGAGGAAGGACGAGGGGCGUCGGGGAUUGCCGGGAUCGGGGCUAUAUCCAGGAUCGGCGGCGGGGAACCUGGGUGGUGCUACUUUAUCUCGAUUCCCCAAUUCCCGGACCUCUGCGCUCCGUGCCCAUGACGUGUUCGACGGAAGGCUCGCCUGAGCAGCGGAAGUCAGGGGAGGCAGGGAUAUAGUUGGUGAAGCGCGACGGGCGGCAGGAGGCUCUCCACUUCGCCAAGAUGAUGUCACAGCUCAAGAAGCUCAGCUACGGCCUCAGCCAGGAGCACGGCAACCCUGUCCUCAUCAGAAUGUCUGCGCCGGCCUAACGCUGGCCUUACAGGUCGUAUUUACACACGCUAAGAAAAUGCUAAUUCGACAAACAAGAUUUUGCUUCGUCUUCAAUGAAUUGACUAGUGGCUACUACGUACUUACUACUAGACCAGAUCAGAUUUCGUACUCCCUCCGAUCCAUAUUACUUGAUGCUAAAAUGAAUGUAUUUACAACUAAAAAGUGUCUAGAUACAUCUAUAUUAGCAUCAAGUAAUAUGAAUCGGAGGGAGUAAUAAAAUUACUAUUAAGUGGUGUUUACUCGCACAGUGAUAACUCUACCUUGGAUGGUUGCUUGAUGUUUCAGAGAGGGACGCUAGCAGGUACUUCCAAGUCUGCCAGGACCAAGAUGGGGCAGAACAUGACGUCAGUGCAUAAUAGGCUCUCUUUGCUUGACAGCAACAAUAGCUGCAGAGGUUGACACAUUGAUGAUUAUGAUGAUUUUAAGCUGAUGCUAUGGUGGAGUUUAUGAAGAAGCUUGCUAGGAUGGAUAUGGAUAUGAGGGUCGAAGAGAAGCAUUCAUUUUCAGUUCGUUUUUAAGAAUACAAUUGGUGCAAGAAGGGCAUCAUGAAGAAUCCUUUCUUCAGUUGAGCAAAAUAUGACAGUUGGUGAGCUAGCUGGAUGAUAAUGUGUACAGAAAAAAAAUUGAGGAUGAACUAGGGAUGAUUUGCGAUGAAUUAGUGUCAAUCAUCGCUAUUCAAUGCAUUUCAUGGGCCAAUACGGUUGAAGAUGUUGUAGUCUUUUAUAAAAUGUGUAUGUAAGGUUCAUGAGUACAGCUCUUUCUACCGCAACCGUCGUGCAGUACUUUUCUCACAUUGGUCUAUUUUCCGAUCAUUGCAUUGAGAGUAUUGAUUGUUUUACAAUGUGUGCUGUGAAGCUGGAACUUACUCCACUAGCACGUGUACUGAAAAUCAUUGGUUCUGGUGUCCAUUGGAUGUCAAGAAAUGGAAGGAGUACCUGAUUGUCUCA